GUUUGAUCAUGGCUCAGAUUGAACGCUGGCGGCAGGCCUAACACAUGCAAGUCGAGCGGUAGAGAGAAGCUUGCUUCUCUUGAGAGCGGCGGACGGGUGAGUAAUGCCUAGGAAUCUGCCUGGUAGUGGGGGAUAACGUUCGGAAACGGACGCUAAUACCGCAUACGUCCUACGGGAGAAAGCAGGGGACCUUCGGGCCUUGCGCUAUCAGAUGAGCCUAGGUCGGAUUAGCUAGUUGGUGAGGUAAUGGCUCACCAAGGCGACGAUCCGUAACUGGUCUGAGAGGAUGAUCAGUCACACUGGAACUGAGACACGGUCCAGACUCCUACGGGAGGCAGCAGUGGGGAAUAUUGGACAAUGGGCGAAAGCCUGAUCCAGCCAUGCCGCGUGUGUGAAGAAGGUCUUCGGAUUGUAAAGCACUUUAAGUUGGGAGGAAGGGCAGUAAAUUAAUACUUUGCUGUUUUGACGUUACCGACAGAAUAAGCACCGGCUAACUCUGUGCCAGCAGCCGCGGUAAUACAGAGGGUGCAAGCGUUAAUCGGAAUUACUGGGCGUAAAGCGCGCGUAGGCGGUAUGUUAAGUCGGAUGUGAAAUCCCUGGGCUCAACCUAGGCAUUGCAUCCGAUACUGGCACACUAGAGUGUGGGAGAGGAAGGUAGAAUUCCAGGUGUAGCGGUGAAAUGCGUAGAGAUCUGGAGGAAUACCGAUGGCGAAGGCAGCCAUCUGGCCUAAUACUGACGCUGAGGUGCGAAAGCAUGGGGAGCAAACAGGAUUAGAUACCCUGGUAGUCCAUGCCGUAAACGAUGUCAACUAGCCGUUGGGCUCCUUGAGGGCUUAGUGGCGCAGCUAACGCGAUAAGUUGACCGCCUGGGGAGUACGGUCGCAAGACUAAAACUCAAAUGAAUUGACGGGGGCCCGCACAAGCGGUGGAGCAUGUGGUUUAA
rnacentral:rRNA from 1 species